GUGCAAGCGUAGCAGAAUGGGCUCCAGCUCGGCUGGACGAUGACCAGGAGGAGCUCCGGCUCCAACAGACAUCUCCACUGCAGGAGGAGGAGAGCGGCCACACAGUGCCGGGAAGAGGAGGGGACGACACGGAGGACGACAGGAGAUGCUGCCUCAGCUGGUUUUGGGAUGGACUGCCUUGCUCAGCGGCCUCCAGCCGGCUGUUGCCUCUGUUACCACCAGAUUUCUAUCUACCAGAGACAGCAGGUGGUCACCUCGGAGAUGUGACGUCUUCAUCCCUCCUCCUCCUCCACCACCUGCGUUUCCUACAGUCAAACGGAAAGCAGAGCUGAUGGUUGAUAUAACCGAGCAAAUCACAGGAGCAAAAGGGGAAAAGGGCUGCAGAGGACCCAGAGGACCCAAGG